rnacentral:rRNA from 1 species
UCGAGGAUCUUCGGCAAUGGGCGCAAGCCUGACCGAGCGACGCCGCGUGGGCGAUGAAGGCCUUCGGGUUGUAAAGCCCUUUAGUGGGGGAGGAAGGCGCAAGCUUGACCUAUCCCAAGAAUAAGCACGGGCUAAGUUCGUGCCAGCAGCCGCGGUAAGACGAACCGUGCGAACGUUGUUCGGAAUCACUGGGCUUAAAGGGCGCGUAGGCGGUCUGCCAAGUCAGGGGUGAAAGCCUCCAGCUUAACUGGAGAAGUGCCUUUGAUACUGGCGGACUCGAGUGAGGUAGGGGUAGUGGGAACUUCCGGUGGAGCGGUGAAAUGCGUUGAUAUCGGAAGGAACGCCGGUGGCGAAAGCGCACUACUGGACCUCUUCUGACGCUGAGGCGCGAAAGCCAGGGGAGCAAACGGGAUUAGAUACCCCCGUAGUCC